GACGAACGCUGGCGGCGUGCUUAACACAUGCAAGUCGAACGGAAAGGCCCUGCUUUUGUGGGGUGCUCGAGUGGCGAACGGGUGAGUAACACGUGAGUAACCUGCCCUUUACUUUUGGAUAACUUCAGGAAACUGGGGCUAAUACCGUAUACGAGCUCCUGCUGCAUGGUGGUGGUUGGAAAGUUUCGGCGGUUGGGGAUGGACUCGCGGCUUAUCUGCUUGUUGGUGGGGUAGUGGCUUACCAAGGCUUUGACGGGUAGCCGGCCUGGGAGGGUGACCGGCAACAUUGGGACUGAGAUACGGCCAAGACUCCUACGGGAGGCAGAAGUGGGGAAUAUUGAAAAAUGGGCGGAAGCCUGAUGCAGCAACGCGGCGUGCGGGAUGACGGCCUUCGGGUUGUAAACCGCUUUCGCCUGUGACGAAGCGUGAGUGACGGUAAUGGGUAAAGAAGCACCGGCUAACUACGUG
rnacentral:rRNA from 1 species